UACGAAGGGGGCUAGCGUUGUUCGGAAUUACUGGGCGUAAAGCGUGCGCAGGCGGCUUCUCAAGUCAGGGGGUGAAAGCCCCUGAGCUCAACUCUGGAAUUGCCUUUGAGACUGAGUGGCUUGAGUACGAGAGAGGUGAGUGGAAUUCCCAGUGUAGAGGUGAAAUUCGUAGAUAUUGGGAAGAACACCGGUGGCGAAGGCGGAUCUCUGGGCCAUUACUGACGCUGAGGAGCGAAAGCGUGGGGAGCGAACAGG
rnacentral:rRNA from 1 species